rnacentral:rRNA from 1 species
GAUGAACGCUGGCGGCGUGCCUAACACAUGCAAGUCGAGCGAACCUUUCGGGGUGAGCGGCGGACGGGUGAGUAACGCGUGGGUAACCUGCCCUGUACACACGGAUAACAUACCGAACGGUAUGCUAAUACGGGAUAACAAAUGAGAGUCGCAUGGCUUUCAUAUCAAAGCUCCGGCGGUACAGGAUGGACCCGCGUCUGAUUAGCUAGUUGGUAAGGUAACGGCUUACCAAGGCAACGAUCAGUAGCCGACCUGAGAGGGUGAUCGGCCACAUUGGAACUGAGACACGGUCCAAACUCCUACGGGAGGCAGCAGUGGGGAAUAUUGCACAAUGGGCGAAAGCCUGAUGCAGCAACGCCGCGUGAGCGAUGAAGGCCUUCGGGUCGUAAAGCUCUGUCCUCAAGGAAGAUAAUGACGGUACUUGAGGAGGAAGCCCCGGCUAACUACGUGCCAGCCGCCGCUGUAA